UAUCAAUUCAAAAUAAAUUUGGGAAUAAAAAAUGCUUACCUUAAUAAUGUGUUGAAUUUAAGAUUUUAUCUACAAACAAUAUACAAAACAAAGAACACCAAAAAAAAUAAUCAUAAUUAAAAUAAAAAAAAUACAAAGAUAAAGAAAAAAAAAUACAUACCUUUUAAAACUAAAUGAGAGAAGAAGAGAAAGGGAGAAGAGAAAGGGAGAAGAGGAGAAGAGAAGUGAAAGGGAGAAGAGGGGGAGAAGAGGAGAAGAGAAAGAGAGAAGAGGAAGGGAGAAGAGGGGGAGAAGAGGAGAAGCGGAGAAGAGGGAGGAGAAAAGGAGAGAAGAG
rnacentral:lncRNA from 1 species